AGAUAUGGAAAGAGAUCAAGCCCAGAGACACUGAUCUCAGACCUCUUAUUGAGAGAAAGCACAGAAAAUAUUCCCAGAUCUAGGUUUGAAGAUCCCUCGAUGUGGUGAUGGGAUUUGCAGCACACCAUCAAACUUUUCCUAGUUUUCGACAUACUCCACUCCUUUAAGGCGAACCAGAGCGCAUCAUUCUCACUGCAUGCAGCCACUGUACUGAAUUCUGUAGAGUUUUUCCUUCAUCAUAUUUGUAUAUACCUUUAUUUAAAUAAAUUAUUUGUGCAUUCCAAAAUAUACCAUACUAAAUGAAAACACACACCCUGUUAUGGUAUAGCAAAGAGCUGUUUUAAAUUAUUAAAACUGAAUUCUAACCUUC